AGUGAACGCUGGCGGUAGGCCUAACACAUGCAAGUCGAACGGCAGCACAGUAAGAGCUUGCUCUUACGGGUGGCGAGUGGCGGACGGGUGAGGAAUACAUCGGAAUCUACUUUUUCGUGGGGGAUAACGUAGGGAAACUUACGCUAAUACCGCAUACGACCUACGGGUGAAAGCAGGGGAUCUUCGGACCUUGCGCGAUUGAAUGAGCCGAUGUCGGAUUAGCUAGUUGGCGGGGUAAAGGCCCACCAAGGCGACGAUCCGUAGCUGGUCUGAGAGGAUGAUCAGCCACACUGGAACUGAGACACGGUCCAGACUCCUACGGGAGGCAGCAGUGGGGAAUAUUGGACAAUGGGCGCGAGCCUGAUCCAGCCAUACCGCGUGGGUGAAGAAGGCCUUCGGGUUGUAAAGCCCUUUUGUUGGGAAAGAAAAGCAGUAGGUUAAUACCCCGCUGUUCUGACGGUACCCAAAGAAUAAGCACCGGCUAACUUCGUG
rnacentral:rRNA from 1 species